UUGAGGUCCAGCGUGCUGGCAUCAGGCGCCAGGAACCUUCAGUGCUGGGGAUGGCCUGCCGGGGGCCUCGUGGGUCUUUUCUCAGCUCCACGGUGGCAGAUUUACCCAGCAAAGGUGUCCUAGGCUGAAAUCAGAGCAGGAUGAAGAAGGAGGCAGAGGCAGGGAGGUGUCAGAGGAAGAAUUUCCCAAUGGUCAGAUGUGGAAUG
rnacentral:lncRNA from 1 species